UACGUAGGGUGCGAGCGUUGUCCGGAAUUAUUGGGCGUAAAGGGCUCGUAGGCGGUCUGUCGCGUCGGGAGUGAAAACUCAGGGCUUAACCCUGAGCCCGCUUCCGAUACGGGCAGACUAGAGGUAUGCAGGGGAGAACGGAAUUCCUGGUGUAGCGGUGGAAUGCGCAGAUAUCAGGAGGAACACCGGUGGCGAAGGCGGUUCUCUGGGCAUUACCUGACGCUGAGGAGCGAAAGUGUGGGGAGCGAACAGG
rnacentral:rRNA from 1 species